rnacentral:rRNA from 1 species
AGAGUUUGAUCAUGGCUCAGGACGAACGCUGGCGGCGUGCUUAACACAUGCAAGUCACGGGGGCUCGCAAGAGCAACCGGCGAACGGGUGCGUAACACGUGAGGAACCUGCCGCGCUCAGGGGGAUAGCCGGCCCAACGGCCGGGUAAUACCGCAUACGCUCGGGGAGGGGAGUCCCUUUUCGAGGAAACCUCCGGGGGAGCGCGAGGGGCUCGCGGCCUAUCAGCUUGUUGGCGGGGUAACGGCCCACCAAGGCGACGACGGGUAGCUGGUCUGAGAGGAUGGCCAGCCACAUUGGGACUGAGAGACGGCCCAGACUCCUACGGGAGGCAGCAGUGGGGAAUCUUGCGCAAUGGCCGCAAGGCUGACGCAGCGACGCCGCGUGUGGGAGGACGCCCUUCGGGGUGUAAACCACUGUUGCCCGGGACGAACCUGCCCUUUCGAGGGCACUGACGGUACCGGGUGAGGAAGCACCGGCUAACUCCGUGCCAGCAGCCGCGGUAAUAC